CUUCCUUCCUUCCUUCCUUCCUUUCUUCCUUCCUUUCUUCCUUUCUUCCUUUCUUCCUUUCUUCCUUUCUUUCUUUCUUUCUUUCUUUCUUUCUUUCUUUCUUUCUUUCUUUCUUUCUUUCUUUCUUUCUUUCUUUCUUUCUUUCUUCUUUCCUUCCUUCCUUCCUUCCUUCCUUUCUUCCUUUCUUCCUUUCUUCCUUUCUUCCUUUCUUUCUUCUUUUCUUCCUUUCUUCCUUUCUUCCUUUCUUCCUUUCUUCCUUUCUUCCUUUCUUCCUUUCUUUCCUUUCUUUUCUUCCCCCAUAUCCAUUUAUGUAAUUCAUGAAAGAGGGGUUAUGCUAAAUAGCUGACCUGGUGUUCUCCUGACUUCUUGGACAUCACUCUCUGAUGGUCCUUCCAGGAGCCCUGUCUUUGGCUGAGGAGGAAGGGGAGAAGCACUAGUUCAGGAUUUAGUCUUUGGUUUUUCUUCACUCUCUAGAGUGAUGCUUGAUGUGUGUUUCUAAUGGCUAUCUUUCAAUGAUUUUAAUGGAGCUGCUUUAACAGGAAAUCACACCAGGGAAUUUAACAUCCCUGCCCCCACAUAUCACAAAGGAGUUGUCCUCUUCUGUGAUGGAAAGAGGUUAACUGCAGCCACAACAGCUUGUGUGGUAUGUCUGCUCCCCUGUAAUGCUCUCUGCUUAGACAAACAUGAAACCAUAAAAAUACUCUUUUCUCUCAUUAUUAAUUUUCUUCCUUUCAAUUAAUCUGCCAAGAGCCCUUAGAAGGUGUUUAUCCCAGAAUAUGGCGGGGACCAGCUGUAACAAAAUUGUUUUUCUGUGAGACAGAAGGGAAAGCUGGAAUUCAGUCUCACCAGCAUUAGCCUUUGUACUUGCUUUAUCUAAUACAAAAACUGUAACAUCAGACCUACCAUGCGUUUCCUUGUUUACCUAAAAAUCUGUAAUGUCUCUUGAGAUGCUGUAAGGAUCGGAGGAAAUCUAUGGGCUGCUCUGAAGUUUUUUACUCAUACAAAUCUUUGAUUUCCCUUUGCUGCCACGUUCAUCUCAGGGGGGAAGAAGAAAACUCAGUUCUCGUGCAUUGUGCAGGGGUGCGCUCCUGCUCUUGCGCUGGGACCUUCCUCACAUUGUCAACCACGCUCAUUGCUCUGGGCUCCUGGGAACAAUUCUGUAGCUUCAUCCGCUUCCACUCAUUUAUGUCUGAGGGGCUGAGACAGAUACUUUCUGCCAUGGUUCGUGUUAACUUUGCUCUCUGCUCAGUUUUUAUCUGAAGUUGUAGCAGUUCAUCUACAAAUAGACAUUGUUUGAGGAUCUUCAGUGCUGGAUCUUGACCCAAUGGACCAAACGCAGACCCAGAAUACAGAUCAGGCUUUGAGCUCUGCAGCCCCUCCAAGAAGAAGAAGAAAACACACUGGAAGACGAAAGCCUUGUAUGGGUCCCAGAUGCCAGUCGUCAUUCUGAGGCUGCUCUGAACAGACUUGCUGGUUCUUUCAGCUCUCUGGGAUGACAGAGGGAAAGCUGCACGUGCCCAGAUGAAUGUACAGAACGGCUGGUUGGAAACUCAAGCAGGUCUAGCAGAAAUCUUCUGGCAAAGCAGAUGUUGUUGUACAACACUAAAUCUUCAAAUGUUUCUUGUUUCUGAAACCUAGAGCACAGACUUGGGACACUCAGAAGCUAAACUCAAAGGGACUCAAACAGGUACUCAGCAAUUGCUUAAAUUUCUAUUUUAUACUUAAUUUUGUAUUUUAUAGACUAGAACUAUACUAAGCAUACUUAAUAUAUAACAUUUGGCUUCAGAAGCAGUAGGUCUUGAGGCUGCCCUCUGUCAAACCUGAGAGAUAGCGGCAGUAGCUCUCUGCAUCCCAUCUCAGAGCCUGCACCUUGUGCUUUUACUUGUGAGAUGUGCAAUCUGCCUUUGAAAAUGAAAGAGGUGGCCUCUACCAGCAGAAGACCCACGAAUUCCAAACCCCUUGAAAUGGGGGUGAAAUGGAGCAGAAAAAAAAAAUCCUUACCUGACAUAAGCAGAACUGCCACAGAUUGUCUAAUCUCUGCUGUCCAGCCUAUGUAAAUGACAA